rnacentral:rRNA from 1 species
AACGAACGCUGGCGGCGUGCCUAACACAUGCAAGUCGUGCGAGAAAGUUCCUUCGGGAGCGAGUAAAGCGGCGCACGGGUGAGUAACACGUAGGUAACCUGCCCCCCAGUCUGGAACAACUAGAGGAAACUCUAGCUAAUGCCGGAUGAGACCACGAUCCCUUCGGGGGUUGCGGCCAAGAUGGCCUCUACUUGUAAGCUAUCGCUGAGGGAUGGGCCUGCGGGCCAUUAGCUUGUUGGUGAGGUAACGGCUCACCAAGGCUGUGAUGGCUAGCUGGUCUGAGAGGAUGACCAGCCACACUGGGACUGGAGACACGGCCCGAGACUCCUACGGGAGCAGCAGUGGGGAAUAUUGCGCAAUGGGGCAAAGGCCUGACGCAGCGACGCCGCGUGGGUGAU